rnacentral:rRNA from 1 species
UACGUAGGGUGCGAGCGUUGUCCGGAAUUAUUGGGCGUAAAGGGCUCGUAGGCGGUUUGUCGCGUCGGGAGUGAAAACCUCGGGCUUAACUCGGGGCUUGCUUUCGAUACGGGCAGACUGGAGGUAUGCAGGGGAGAACGGAAUUCCUGGUGUAGCGGUGAAAUGCGCAGAUAUCAGGAGGAACACCGAUGGCGAAGGCAGGUCUCUGGGCAUUAACUGACGCUGAGGAGCGAAAGCAUGGGGAGCGAACAGG